GCUGCUGCCAGUGGAUAUAAAAUAAUCAUUGUUGUGAAAUAGAAAUUCAUGAAAAUUCAGAGAGGUAGAUGUUAAGGACUGACAAAAGCAGAAGUUUGUAUAGUAUGGCACAUGUUAUAGAAUAAGCUUUUUGUACAGGCUUCAGCUUUAGCUCUCUUUGAAUAUUCAC